GAUGAAGAACCAGCGAAAUGCGAUAAGUAAUGUGAAUUGCAGAAUUCAGUGAAUCAUCGAAUCUUUGAACGCACCUUGCGCUCCUUGGUAUUCCGAGGAGCAUGCCUGUUUGAGUGUCAUUAAUAUAUCAACCUUCUCUUUUUUGAGUUGUUUGGAUGUGGGGGUUUGCUGGCCUCUUAAAUGAUUCAGCUCCCCUGAAAUGCAUUAGCAGAACAACCUGUUCAUUAGCGUGAUAAUUAUCUAUGCUAUUGAAUGUGAGGGCAGUUCAGCUUUCUAACCGUCCUUGGACAAUUCAUCAUUAAUGUGACCUCAAAUCAGGUAGGACUACCCGCUGAACUUAAGCAUAUCAAUAAGCGGAGGA
rnacentral:misc_RNA from 1 species